rnacentral:lncRNA from 1 species
CCACAGUCCAGAUUUCCCCCAAUACAUUUCCAUACAAACCAGAUCUGCUACUCAUACAAUUUGCUUAUGCCAGUAAACUGUUUAAUGCAUGAUUACAGAUAUAAAUGAAUGUGAGACCACCAAUGAAUGCCGAGAAGAUGAAAUGUGCUGGAAUUACCAUGGUGGCUUCCGCUGUUACCCACAAAACCCAUGUCAAGAUCCCUAUGUUCUAACGUCAGAAAACCGAUGCGUUUGCCCGGUCUCAAACACCAUGUGCC